GAGAGCGGUGAGCAGUGAGCACCAUCUUUAAUGAUGGGUGGGUUUGUCACAGGAACAGGUAAGAGUGCAUUCAGGAGGGGCAGGUGUGAAGGAGUCAAGAACGCCAAGUCCUGUUUCCAUCACUUCCUGUGUGGGCUUUGGAAAGAUGCUUUUCCUCCUCGAGCUCCAGCAUCCUCAUGACUGGAGUGAGAACUUAGGCCAGCAUGCGAUCAUGGUUUUUUUUUUUUGCAGGAGAAAAUCCCAUCUCAAUUUAUUCAUCCACCUGACAAAUAUUUAUGAGGUGCCUACAAGGUACUUCUAGAAAGUAAGGCUAUAGUGGUGAAGAAAAUACUCCCAAAUUCUUGCUCUUGUGGUUCUCACAUGCCAACAAAUUGGAAAGAUGCAGCUCAUGGAGGUGGACUCUUAGUGUUAUCUGUGUAGUGGCCGACGUGACUUUCAAAAUCGAAUUGCAUUUUAAAAUCGAAAUUAAAUCAAGGUUACAUAAAAUGGCAACUUUGGUUCUUCUAUGGCACCAGCCACAUUUCAAGUGCUCUUUAGCACUUGUGGCUACCAUUUUGGAUAGCUCAGAUAUAGACACUCUAUCAUUAUAUAAAGCUGGAUAGAGCUGCAUUGACUUAACUGUACCAGUAGAACAAGUCCUAAAAUAUCUUCACUGUUGUUGUUUUUUUUUUACGAAUUAUAUACACUUAAUACCAUAUAUAAUACGUAUGUAAUUGAGAUUUAUCUCCUACAUUCCUUGGAGUGAUCAAGCCUCUUUAGAAACCCUGGCUUAGAGUGAUAUCACCUUUCAGCCUGAAUUUGGACGCUUGUCUAACAAGCAGAUUUCAGAGCCUCCUCUCCAGGGAACCUGUUUCAGAAGAUAGCAGGAGAGGCCCAGUCCGGGUUGUAACAAAUAACCCCAUACUUGGUGGCUUAAGUUGACAGAAAGUUAUUCUCUUGUAGUUAUAUGAGUCAAAUGUCUAACAUCCAUUUCCCUGCCAUGAACUCAAGGCGCUGAGCUCCAGAUGCGCUAGAGGAAAGUCCCUUUGUUGCUUACUGUCGCUGCUAGUGGCUGCCUGACCCUGGCCUUAUCCCCUUAUAUCCCCGGCCACACUGUUUCCUCCUCUCCUAUACACAUCAAAGCUCCCUCUGCCACCCUCUUAGAAGGACAGGUGUGGUCAGAGGUGAGGCUAGUCCGUAUCAUCUGGGACAGAUUCCCUGUGUCCAGAUUCUUAAUCACACCUACAGACCCUCUUUUCCUUAUAUAAUAACCAGACUUGGGAGCUGGCUAUGUUUGGGGCUAUGAUUUCAUAUAUUAUGCUAGGCUGCUGCAUGUCUAGCAGAAGAUUCAUGUGAACCUCCAGGUAUGGGGGGGAGGAGCCAGGGGGGCUGCACUCAAGACAGUCCCAUGAAAGUGUUCCCAUUUUUACCAGACAGUGACACAACAGCCCCAUGUCAGAGCGCUCAGUCCCAUCCCCAGCUCCAGACAGAUUCUUUCAAUUUGCCUUUGCAGAAACAGUGGAAAGAACUGAUCAGAAAAGGUCUCAGGGCCUGGGGUACCCUCACUAGUGUAUUUUUGGGAACCACAUCUUGCUUGUACAAUCCAAGGUGCUCCUGUAGACCUGGCUCAGUAGACCAUGACCAUGACCGCAGUGUUGAGGGCUUGGGAAGAAGUGUGUGUGUGUGUGUGUGUGUGUGUGUGUGUGUGUAGAGUUUCUGCAGGAUGAAAGAGGCAAAGCUGUGUUCUUUUCUCCAAACUUAUAAUUACCACAGCAGAACCCACCUUGAGAUGCCUCUGUGGGCUGCUGUCAUCUGUCAUCCGAAGGACACAGUGUCACAGGACAAAUUUUGAAUAUCCAUGGUCACCAUUAUCCCUUGCCUCUGGGCCUUUCAAAGGCAAGACGACACUCUCCAUGAUUCCACCCACGAGUACCCCUCUACCCAACAGCCCUUGCGCCUGUUGACGUGAGAGGCACCUGGGGAUGGUGGGAAAGGCAACUGAUCUUUUCUGGAAUGGAUAGGAGCGACAUCCCCUUCCUGGGAACUUGUUUGGGGUCCAGACUGUCACAUAGCAAGGGCUCCCUGGGAACUCAGAGACCAGCGUUGUACAGAGCUUACACCUCUCCAAAAUGGCGAGAAGGGCCCAGUGCUUUUGCGUUUAUUCAGAAGAGAGAUGUGAGGACACCAAGAGAACGAAAGGACAUUGGCUGAAGGUACUCAAGGAUGGGGGUGACUCCUGGCCCCAAUGUCCCCCCUCCCCCUAGAUCCUAGGAUGAGAAAAGAGGCUCUGGGACAGGUGGCUGUGGCUCAACCGUAUCAUCCUGGCU